AAACCAGAUAUGACUUAGUGGCGGACGGGUGAGUAACACGUGAGCAACCUGCCUUUCAGAGGGGGAUAACGGCUGGAAACGGUCGCUAAUACCGCAUGACACAUUGGGGUCGCAUGGCCUUGAUGUCAAAGAUUUAUCGCUGAAAGAUGGCCUCGCGUCUGAUUAGCUAGAUGGUGAGGUAACGGCCCACCAUGGCGACGAUCGGUAGCCGGACUGAGAGGUUGAACGGCCACAUUGGGACUGAGACACGGCCCAGACUCC
rnacentral:rRNA from 1 species